GAUAUCACGAAGAACUCCGAUGUGCGAAGGCAGGCUUACUGUAGGCGCAACUGACGCUGAUGCUCGGAAAGCGUGGGUAUCGAGCAGGGAUUAGAUACCCUGGUAGUGCACGCGGUAAACGAUGGAUGCUCGUUGUCGGCCCUUGCGGUCGGUGACCAAGCGAAAGCGUUAAGCAUCCCACCUGGGGAGUACGCCGACAACGGUGAAACUCAAAGGAAUUGACGGGGGCCCGCACAAGCGGAGGAACAUGUGGUUUAAUUCGGUGAUACGCGAGGAACCUUACCCGGGCUUGAACUGCGGCGGAACGAUUCCGAGAGGAUGAGGCCCUUCGGGGCUGCCGCGGAGGUGCUGCAUGGUUGUCGUCAGCUCGUGCCGUGAGGUGUCGGCUUAAGUGCCAUAACGAGCGCAACCCCCGUCUUCAGUUGCCAUCGGAUGAUGCCGGGCACUCUGGAGAUACUGCCACCGCAAGGUGUGAGGAAGGUGGGGAUGACGUCAAAUCAGCACGGCCCUUACGUCCGGGGCUACACACGUGUUACAAUGGCGCAUACAGAGAGUAGGUGGCAUGCGAAUGCCAUCCAAUCCUUAAAGUGCGUCUCAGUUCGGACUGGGGUCUGCAACCCGACCCCACGAAGCUGGAUUCGCUAGUAAUCGCGCAUCAGCCAUGGCGCGGUGAAUACGUUCCCGGGCCUUGUACACACCGCCCGUCAAGCCAUGAAAGCCGGGGGCGCCUGAAGUCCGUGACCGCGAGGGUCGGCCUAGGGUGAAACCGGUGAUUUGGGCUAAGUCGUAACAAGGUAGCCG
rnacentral:rRNA from 1 species